UACGGAGGGUGCAAGCGUUUAUCCGGAUUCACUGGGUUUAAAGGGUGCGUAGGCGGGUAAGUAAGUCCGUGGUGAAAUCUCUGAGCUUAACUCAGAAACUGCCGUGGAUACUAUUUGCCUUGAAUAUUGUGGAGGUGAGCGGAAUAUGUCAUGUAGCGGUGAAAUGCUUAGAUAUGACAUAGAACACCAAUUGCGAAGGCAGCUCACUACACAAUCAUUUGACGUGAGGCACGAAAAGCGUGGGGAUCAAACAGG
rnacentral:rRNA from 1 species